AUGUGCCAAUGUUUGUUCCAUUGAACUGCCAUUCAUCGGGUCUUGUGUUUUCUGCGCACAAUGGGAUCCUGAUUCAAGGUAAGGCCUCUAGACAGUGCUGGCUUACACAUAUGACACUGAGAAUCCCCAGAAUAACUUGCAAGUUAUCAGCUGAUUAAUAAAUUUCUGCUUUUCCACUAAAAUUCCAGUAAGUUCUCCACUGCAUAGGCAGAGCUGCAGUUUGCAAGUAGAGAAGUCAAGACUGAAAACAGUGCAUGAGUCGCUGUCUUAGAAAGAGGGAGAGAGCCCAGGACAAGGAUCACAUAACCUGAAUUCCUUCCUGGCUGUCAGGCACCCAAACGUGUCUCUGUGCCUGCUUCAGGCACCCAAAUAACUGUCUGUGAAACCUCUUCAGAGAAAUCUGGAGCAUCACCAGUGCAUGGAGGAGAGCAGUGGUUGAGGAGAAUUGCAUGAAUGGCUAUCUGGGUGCAGCUUGGGGCUUCAUACAAGCCAGACAGGAGCAGAAGGCCAAGAGCUUUAAGGACAUGUGGAGCAUAACUUCCCCUGAGACCGAGGAAGCAGAACCCCAAAUAUAUGCUUUUCUGCACGAAGGGAAGCCCAAAGAGGGGUGCAACUCGUCUUUGCCUUGCUCACCGUAGACUGCAGGUGCCUUGGCAGGGGACAGCCAAGGCACUGCUUUGCUGCUCAGCCUCCUUUGUGACCAGCUGCUGUUCUGUUCAAUACAAACAGAUCUACAAACUGCAGCAACAGGUGGGAAAGGAUUUCCUCAGCCCCGGAGAUACAGUCAGUCCACACAGAUGGUCAGAUCCUGACCUCAGUGAAAUCAGGAGCAAUCCAUUGGCUUCAGCAGAGCAAUUCACACUGUCGUACCCACAGGCCUGACCAAGUCCAGAAGACAUAAUGAGAAUGAUAGUGCCGAUUCUUCCCAGUUUGCUUUCACUUGGCUCGAGGGAAGAAUUGAGCUUCAGCUGGGCAGUUUCUUAGAGAUAAAAGCAACUUCCAAUAAACAUGGAGUUUUCC
rnacentral:lncRNA from 1 species